AAUUGUCAGUCAAAAUAUAUUGACUUUUAGACCUCAACAACACAUAUAUUCAGAUGCCAAAUCCUGCCAAUAUGGCAAACGCCAUAUCUGCACAUGGCAUAUGGAAUGAAAACAUUUGUGAGCCCUGAAAUUGUAAAGUUAUAGAGUCAGCAUGAGCAUGGUCUCAACUCUCUUCUGUCUAUUUCAUUGCCAGUGUUUCCCCUAACUGUCCCUACCUGCCCUGAGGUCAGCUUGGUGCUCUACUGUCUCCAGUCCUCCCCUGCCCCUUCCUUCCUUUUCUCUGCCUUCCACCUUUGCCUGCCUGCUGUUGCUUGCCCUGGCUUGCUCUAGCCUUGAUUUUUGGCCCAUUAUGCCCUCUUUCUGGGGCUAUACCUGACACAGGACAUACUGCCUUGUCUUCACAAUUUGGAUUAUUGUUUGACCAGGUACAUCAUGACAGACAGGUGGUGCUGGAUGACCGGGGACCAUAUGGACUACAGACACUGGGAGGGAGUCACACCCCCUAAGAAGGACUUCUCCAACCCCUGUGGAGCGAUGACCAACGGGGAGGCUUCCUAUGGGUGGAGCUGCUCUACGAUGACCAUCACAACUUCCUCUGCUACUCAGGUGCUGAGGAAGGGGUCGAAAGAGUGUGAUUCUACAGCACCUACAGAGACAAACGGCCAGAGACAGGGUCUGUGGAAAGAUAGUCCAUCUAUUGAUUCAACCGGUAGUGGAGAUGUUUUGUGUUGUCUUUAACUAAACAUGGCCCUGAAUUUAAAUGUUAAUAUGACAAUGGCAAAGGACGGUUUUGUGGUUGAAAUUAGACCAUUGAGGCUACUCAGGCCAAUAUACUUUGUAUCUUGAUGUAUUGCAUAUACGGACUGCUUUAAUAAAUGUGUAAUAAGCUA